AUUGAACGCUGGCGGCAGGCCUAACACAUGCAAGUCGAGCGGAUGAAGGGUGCUUGCUCCUGGAUUCAGCGGCGGACGGGUGAGUAAUUCCUAGGAAUCUGCCUGGUUGUGGGUUAUAACGUCCGUAAACGGGCGCUAAUACCGCAUCCUUCCUGAGGGUGAAAGUGGGGGAUCUUCGGACCUCACGCUAUCUGAUGAGCCUAGGUCGGAUUAGCUAGUUGGUGGGGUAAAGGCCUACCAAGGCGACGAUCCGUAACUGGUCUGAGAGGAUGAUCAGUCACACGGGAACUGAGAAACGGACCAGAAUCAUACGGGAGGCAGCAGUGGGGAAUAUUGGACAAUGGGAGAAAGCAUGAUACAGCAAAGGCGCGUGUGUGAAGAAGGUCUUCGGAUUGUAAAGCACUUUAAGUUGGGAGGAAGGGAAGUAAGUUAAUACCUUGCUGUUUUGACGUUACCAACAGAAUAAGCACCGGCUAACUACGUG
rnacentral:rRNA from 1 species